GGUUAUUAACCACAACACCUUCCUCCCCGCUGAAAGUACUUUACAACCCGAAGGCCUUCUUCAUACACGCGGCAUGGCUGCAUCAGGCUUGCGCCCAUUGUGCAAUAUUCCCCACUGCUGCCUCCCGUAGGAGUCUGGACCGUGUCUCAGUUCCAGUGUGGCUGGUCAUCCUCUCAGACCAGCUAGGGAUCGUCGCCUAGGUGAGCCGUUACCCCACCUACUAGCUAAUCCCAUCUGGGCACAUCUGAUGGCAAGAGGCCCGAAGGUCCCCCUCUUUGGUCUUGCGACGUUAUGCGGUAUUAGCUACCGUUUCCAGUAGUUAUCCCCCUCCAUCAGGCAGAUUCCCAGACAUUACUCACCCGUCCGCCACUCGUCACCCGAGAGCAAGCUCUCUGUGCUACCGUUCGACUUGCAUGUGUUAGGCCUGCCGCCAGCGUUC
rnacentral:rRNA from 1 species